CUGGAAGUAUCACUGAUGACUUGGAUGUUGGGGUCAAAGCAUACCCACCUCCUCAACAUUCAACAUAGAGUACACUGGUAUGUUGAUUGGAGAUGAGCAACCUAUUCUUGUUGUAUACAGUUGGCUUUGGAAUCUUAAAAUGUCUGUAUAAAGAGUACAGAGAGCAGCAGAAGUGAGUAACUCUGAGAGUGAUUGUGAUUUCAAAAGGCAGUGAAACUGGUUCACCCAAUGGGUGUGAGAAAGAAAAAUGUACUGAAUGAUUACUAUGAUUGUGCCAAGCCCAACAGUCAAGAGGCAAGGUUGACAGACAAACACUGACAAUACCAAUGGGGCUUCUGUACAAGACAUGUAUGGACCAAAUGGAAUGGAAUACAAGAUUGCAUACCACAGUUCUUUCAAGUAUGUUUGAGAGGGGAUUGCUAUGGGUUACCUGAAAUUCAACACCUCAGUACUUGACUGCAUCUUCCAUGAAACCAUCGUAUGUCCGGACAAUACUCCAAUACUCAGAAGGUGACAAUGCAACAGUAUCUGUAGACAUUUGUGCAAGUCAUGGCAACAAAACAGUGGUAUUGAAGACCAACUCAGCUAACAUGAAACAGGACAAGGAUUAAUUGUACAAGAGAUACAAGUCAACAUCUCAGGUUCGAAUCAUACAUCCCGAGGAGUGGUCUCUUCCAGUCCAGUGUGAGACCAACCCUACUGGUUUGAAUGGAGUUGUGGUGUAUGAUGAUCUAACUUAUGCCGUACCUUCUGUUGACAACCAGCAGCCUAUAGAUCGAGCCCCGUCUUUGGACAACUCAACCGGUGUGAGUGGAGGAUUGGAGCAGCAGUGGAGCUCAGAAGAAACACAUCACCAGGAGGAGAACCUAAUGUUUCAGCCCCAUGAAGACUCAACGUCUGGUGGGAGACAUCUGAGACAUUGUCCUUUCUGUCAUAGUGAGACCACACACAGAGUGCCCGUCAACUGGUGGAGUCAGAAUGGUCCAUGGCUGGUGAUGGCACUCGCUGGUUCUAUUUUGUGGGUUUUCUUUUUGAACUGGGGCCAUGAUUAAGAGGGACGGCCGGGGGCAUUCGUAUUGUGCAGCUAGAGGUGAAAUUCUUGGACCGGCGCAAGACGGACGAAAGCGAAAGCAUUUGCCAAGAAUGUUUUCAUUAAUCAAGAAUGAAAGUCGGAGGUUCGAAGACGAUCAGAUACCGUCGUAGUUCCGACCAUAAACGAUGCCAACUAGUGAUCCAGGUCCGGGAAACCCAAGUCUUUGGGUUCCGGGAGGAGUAUGGUUGCAAAGCUGAAACUUAAAGGAAUUGACGAAAGGGCACCACCAGGAGUGGAGCCUACGGCUUAAUUUGACUCAACACGUGGUGCGAUGCUCUCUCUGUUAGGCACAAUGCUUGUUUUCUCAAAAGAAAAAUCAUUUUGAAAUGUCUUUCGUCGUGUCAUGUUGUCCUUUUUGUCACAAUGGGGUUAGGAAUGGAGGGGGAGGAUAUUGUAUAUUCUACAUUAUUAUUAACUCAUAUUUAAAUUUUAUUUUUAGCCUUCCUUUGUGACAUUUAUUACAU